CGAGGCAAAGCCGCGAGGCGGAGCGAAUCGCUAAAAGACCGUCCCAGUUCGGGUUGGCAGGCUGCAACCCGCCUGCAUGAAGUCGGAAUUGCUAGUAAUCGCAGAUCAGCAUGCUGCGGUGAAUACGUUCCCGGGCCUUGUACACACCGCCCGUCACACCAUGGGAGUCGGUAACACCCGAAGUCGGUAGCCUAACCGUAAGGAGGGCGCCGCCGAAGGUGGGAUUGAUGACUGGGGUGAAGUCGUAACAAGGUAUC
rnacentral:rRNA from 1 species